rnacentral:rRNA from 1 species
UACGAAGGGGGCUAGCGUUGCUCGGAAUCACUGGGCGUAAAGGGUGCGUAGGCGGGUCUUUUAAGUCAGGGGUGAAAUCCCAGAGCUCAACUCUGGAACUGCCUUUGAUACUGGGUAUCUCGAGUAUGGAAGAGGUGAGUGGAAUUCCGAGUGUAGAGGUGAAAUUCGUAGAUAUUCGGAGGAACACCAGUGGCGAAGGCGGCUCACUGGUCCAUUACUGACGCUGAGGU